AGUGAACGCUGGCGGUAGGCCUAACACAUGCAAGUCGAACGGCAGCACAGUAAGAGCUUGCUCUUACGGGUGGCGAGUGGCGGACGGGUGAGGAAUACAUCGGAAUCUACUUUUUCGUGGGGGAUAACGUAGGGAAACUUACGCUAAUACCGCAUACGACCUACGGUUGAAAGCAGGGGAUCUUCGGACCUUGCGCGAUUGAAUGAGCCGAUGUCGGAUUAGCUAGUUGGCGGGGUAAAGGCCCACCAAGGCGACGAUCCGUAGCUGGUCUGAGAGGAUGAUCAGCCACACUGGAAGUGAGACACGGUCCAGACUCCUACGGGAGGCAGCAGUGGGGAAUAUUGGACAAUGGGCGCAAGCCUGAUCCAGCCAUACCGCGUGGGUGAAGAAGGCCUUCGGGUUGUAAAGCCCUUUUGUUGGGAAAGAAAAGCAGCAGGUUAAUACCCCGCUGUUCUGACGGUACCCAAAGAAUAAGCACCGGCUAACUUCGUG
rnacentral:rRNA from 1 species